GGGCGAAUGGUGUAAUUGGUAGCCACGAAAGAUUCAAAAUCUUUUACCGCAAGGUGUCAGGGUUCGAGUCCCUGUUUGCCCA
rnacentral:tRNA from 1 species